GGGGCCGUAGCUCAGUUGGUAGAGCGCUUGAAUGGCAUUCAAGAGGUCUGGGGUUCGACUCCCCACGGCUCCACCA
rnacentral:tRNA from 1 species